GACGAACGCUGGCGGCGUGCCUAAUACAUGCAAGUCGAGCGAGCUUGCCUAGAUGAAUUUGGUGCUUGCACCAAAUGAAACUAGAUACAAGCGAGCGGCGGACGGGUGAGUAACACGUGGGUAACCUGCCCAAGAGACUGGGAUAACACCUGGAAACAGAUGCUAAUACCGGAUAACAACACUAGACGCAUGUCUAGAGUUUAAAAGACGGUUCUGCUAUCACUCUUGGAUGGACCUGCGGUGCAUUAGCUAGUUGGUAAGGUAACGGCUUACCAAGGCAAUGAUGCAUAGCCGAGUUGAGAGACUGAUCGGCCACAUUGGGACUGAGACACGGCCCAAACUCCUACGGGAGGCAGCAGUAGGGAAUCUUCCACAAUGGACGCAAGUCUGAUGGAGCAACGCCGCGUGAGUGAAGAAGGGUUUCGGCUCGUAAAGCUCUGUUGGUAGUGAAGAAAGAUAGAGGUAGUAACUGGCCUUUAUUUGACGGUAAUUACUUAGAAAGUCACGGCUAACUACGUGCCAGCAGCCGCGGUAAUACGUAGGUGGCAAGCGUUGUCCGGAUUUAUUGGGCGUAAAGCGAGUGCAGGCGGUUCAAUAAGUCUGAUGUGAAAGCCUUCGGCUCAACCGGAGAAUUGCAUCAGAAACUGUUGAACUUGGGUGCAGAAGAGGAGAGUGGAACUCCAUGUGUAGCGGUGGAAUGCGUAGAUAUAUGGAAGAACACCAGUGGCGAAGGCGGCUCUCUGGUCUGCAACUGACGCUGAGGCUCGAAAGCAUGGGUAGCGAACAGG
rnacentral:rRNA from 1 species